UACGUAGGGCGCAAGCGUUAUCCGGAAUUAUUGGGCGUAAAGAGCUCGUAGGCGGUUUGUCGCGUCUGCCGUGAAAAGUCCGGGGGCUCAACUCCGGAUCUGCGGUGGGUACGGGCAGACUAGAGUGAUGUAGGGGAGACUGGAAUUCCUGGUGUAGCGGUGAAAUGCGCAGAUAUCAGGAGGAACACCGAUGGCGAAGGCAGGUCUCUGGGCAUUAACUGACGCUGAGGAGCGAAAGCAUGGGGAGCGAAUAGG
rnacentral:rRNA from 1 species